UACGUAGGGGGCAAGCGUUGUCCGGAUUUAUUGGGCGUAAAGAGCGUGUAGGCGGCCUGAAAGGUCAGCUGUGAAAACUCGAGGCUCAACCUCGAGACGUCGGUUGAAACCAUCUGGCUAGAGUCCGGAAGAGGAGAGUGGAAUUCCCGGUGUAGCGGUGAAAUGCGCAGAUAUCGGGAAGAACACCCGUGGCGAAGGCGGCUCGCUGGGACGGUACUGACGCUGAGACGCGAAAGCGUGGGGAGCGAACAGG
rnacentral:rRNA from 1 species